UCAAGCGACGCCAAUGUUAACAACCGUUGUAACAUAUUAAAUUCAUUAGUGUGAUUUUGUAUUUCUCUUACCAGUUUUGUAGUCUACAGGAGUAACAACGACUAUCACAAACUUCAUUUUAAAAAAAUAUUUCGUAGUUCUCCGCUUUUUAUGGACAGUGCUGCGAUAAAAACACGGGAAAUUAACGUUCGUCGAUGCUAAGGCCACAGACUGCUAACACGGGCUGUGACGAUGCUAACUGCUAGUGCUAACCGUGGAUGAUGGCGUCGUUGGAAAAAGACGCAAAGCGGAGACGACGGGGAGGACGGUGGAGCAUAGACGACAUGAAUACGCUGCAUUUAUGCGAUCAUCUGGACGCUCAGAAUGGCUUCCAGCUGCGGUUACAGACUACAACAUGCCCGUCUCUCCCCCCUCCUCCUGCUCUCUUGUAAUGUAACACAGGAAACUGCCUGUUCCCAUGAGGAUGGAGGAAAGGUGUGACGGAAGAAAGAGACCUCAUUCCACUUAAUCCUUGCUGUCCAUCAGAGCAGGUUGAAGCACCACUGACACGCAAACGGCGAAUUAAAGCCUUUGUUUUCAUUUGGCUUCAUGGUGAAAGGCUUUUCAUGCACCUACUGUGGAUCAGGGCCUGUCCACUGACCCUGCGCGGAUUACUGGGGAGCCCAUAUGUGUCAGAUAAGCAGCCUGGUUCACUGACAGCGGAGAGACGCUGCUGUGCAGUAGUGAUGUGUUCGCGAAAAAGCCGGCUCUUUUAUUGAAAACAAUGGGACUGACUUCCUUUCCCCCCGUUUUGGUUGUUAUUUAAUUCACAACAGAUUAAAGGGAUGAUCUUUCAGAACAACAAGGUCAAUAAACCAGAGGCUCAGAGGAAUAGCAUGAUUGUUACAUAACAAACAUCAGGCAUGAGUAAAAUUGUUCUGGAUAGGGUUAGUCUUCAUUUUAAUGAAAUUCAUGCUCAUACUGUUAAAUUUGACUGAUUUAUUUCAAAAUGUUAUGAAAUGACGAGCUGGUGUUACACUCUAAAAAGUGACCGUGCUAACUUGUGAUUGAUUCUAGAUUAUGGCCCUGUGUUUACAGUGGCAUUACGACUUGGUAAUAAUGUGCAAUGGUGAUUAUACUGGACAGUAUUGUGA